rnacentral:rRNA from 1 species
CCUACGGGUGGCAGCAGUGAGGAAUAUUGGUCAAUGGCCGCGAGCCUGAACCAGCCAAGUAGCGUGAAGGAUGACUGCCAUACGGGUUGUAAACUUCUUUUGUAAAGGAAUAAAGUGAGGCACGUGUGCCUUUUUGUAUGUACUUUAUGCAUAAGGAUCGGCUAACUCCGUGCCAGCAGCCGCGUUAAUACGGAGGAUCCGACCGUUAUCCGGAUUUAUUUGGUUUAAAGGGAGCGUAGAUGGGUUGUUACGUCAGGUGUUAAAGUUUGGGGCUCAACCGUAAAAGUGCAAUUGAUACUGGCAGUCUUGAGUACAGUAGAGGUAGGCGGAAUUCGUGGUGUAGCGGUGAAAUGCUUAGAUAUCACGAAGAACUCCGAUUGCGAAGGCAGCUUACUAAACUGCCACUGACAUUGAUGCUCGAAAGUGUGGGUAUCAAACAGGAUUAGAUACCCUUGUAGUC